GUCGGGAUAGCUCAGCUGGUAAAGCAAAGGACU
rnacentral:tRNA from 1 species